UACGUAGGGUGCAAGCGUUGUCCGGAAUUAUUGGGCGUAAAGGGCUCGUAGGCGGCCAACUAAGUCAGACGUGAAAUCCCUCGGCUUAACCGGGGAACUGCGUCUGAUACUGGAUGGCUUGAGAUUGGGAGAGGGAUGCGGAAUUCCAGGUGUAGCGGUGAAAUGCGUAGAUAUCUGGAGGAACACCGGUGGCGAAGGCGGCAUCCUGGACCAACACUGACGCUGAGGAGCGAAAGCCAGGGGAGCAAACGGG
rnacentral:rRNA from 1 species